rnacentral:rRNA from 1 species
AGAGUUUGAUCCUGGCUCAGGACGAACGCUGGCGGCGUGCUUAACACAUGCAAGUCGAACGCUGAUCCAUCUUCGGGUGGGGAGACCGGCGAACGGGUGAGUAACACGUGAGGAACCUGCCCUGUAGACCGGAAUAACCACGGGAAACUGUGGCUAAUGCCGGAUGUUCUCUGCAGCCCGCAUGGAUUGCAGAGGAAAUGGUCUGCCGCUACAGGAUGGCCUCGCGGCCUAUCAGCUUGUUGGUGGGGUAAUGGCCCACCAAGGCGACGAUGCGUAGCUGGUCUGAGAGGAUGAUCAGCCACACUGGGACUGAGACACGGCCCAGACUCCUACGGGAGGCAGCAGCCAGGAAUCUUGGGCAAUGGGCGAAAGCCUGACCCAGCAACACCGUGUGGGUGACGAAGGCCUUAGGGUCGUAAAGCCCUGUUGAUAGGGACGAAGGGCGAAGGGUUAAUAGCCCCUAGCUUGACGGUACCUUUCGAGGAAGCCCCGGCUAACUACGUGCCAGCAGCCGCGGUAAUACGUAGGGGGCGAGCGUUGUCCGGAAUUAUUGGGCGUAAAGAGCGUGUAGGCGGUUCGGUAAGUCUGCUGUGAAAUCCUGGGGCUCAACCCUGGGCGUGCAGCGGAUACUGCCGGGCUAGAGGGUGGUAGAGGCGAGUGGAAUUCCGAGUGUAGCGGUGAAAUGCGCAGAUAUUCGGAGGAACACCAGUAGCGAAGGCGGCUCGCUGGGCCACACCUGACGCUGAGACGCGAAAGCGUGGGGAGCGAACAGGAUUAGAUACCCCAGUAGUCC